rnacentral:SRP_RNA from 1 species
AGCCGGGGCGUUAGCGGGGCCCUGUACCUGAAGUCCGCUACAGCAGGGGUGAUAUCGACCGGAGGGCUGAAGUCAGUUGAGCUGCCCGUCUGAGGAUGCGUUGAAGUUUGGGUCUUAUGCAAUGGAGCGCUGUGAACCGUGUCAGGUCGGGAACGAAGCAGCACUAAGCGGUAUGCUUCAUGUGACAUGAGGGUGCCUGGGCUGAGCAAAGGCAGGCGGUAACGUCUUCGGGAUGGACGUUCGAAGGAAGAUGCACG